rnacentral:ribozyme from 2 species
CUCUAAUGCGGCCACCGCAAAGGUGAGAGUCACAAGCCUCUACAAACGCAGAGUGGAGA